rnacentral:rRNA from 1 species
AUACGGAGGGUGCGAGCGUUAAUCGGAAUUACUGGGCGUAAAGCGUACGUAGGCGGUUUGCUAAGUCAGAUGUGAAAGCCCCGGGCUUAACCUGGGAACUGCAUUUGAUACUGGCAGACUAGAGUAUGAUAGAGGGGGGUAGAAUUCCUGGUGUAGCGGUGAAAUGCGUAGAUAUCAGGAGGAAUACCAGUGGCGAAGGCGGCCCCCUGGAUCAAUACUGACGCUGAGGUACGAAAGCGUGGGGAGCGAACAGGAUUAGAAACCCUAGUAGUCC